AAUUAUUUCACAUUAAGGGUUUUAUGAUAAUUACCGCAAAUUAUGAUUUCUUCAGAAUAUCUCCUUCAUUCUGUCUUCUAACAUGCACAUCGUGUUUUUUUUUUUUUUUUUCUAUGUACUUUCAUAUAUCCAACUACAAUAACUUGCGGAAUAAAACUAGAUGUACAAAGAGAUCUAUAUGGAAAAAUAUUUCAACAAAAAAUACAAGCCAAGCCAAGUCAUCGUAUACGUGCCAAUAGAAUCUGAAAGUAAAGUUUUCUUCAAUAAAGCUUCUUGAACAACAUGCGUCAUUAGGGUUAACCCAACUUCCCCGAUGAGAUAAGCAGUUCAACGAAUCAAGCAUAUAAAAGCAGUUGCUACGACUGAACCAUUUUUAGAUAAAUAGUUCAAUUUCCCAGUUAUUCCCUGGAUUUUGUUCUUCACGGAGGUUCAUGGAGUUG
rnacentral:lncRNA from 1 species